rnacentral:rRNA from 1 species
AUUGUAUCCACGAUUGGGGAAUCUUCCGCAAUGGGCGAAAGCCUGACGGAGCAAUACCGCGUGAGGGAGGAAGGUCUGUGGAUUGUAAACCUCUUUUGAUAGGGAAGAAGUUCUGACGGUACCUAUCGAAUCAGCAUCGGCUAACUCCGUGCCAGCAGCCGCGGUAAUACGGAGGAGGCAAGCGUUAUCCGGAUUUAUUGGGCGUAAAGCGUCCGUAGGUGGUUAUUCAAGUCUAUUGUCAAAGCCUGGGGCUUAACCCUGGAGAGGCGGUGGAAACUGAAUAACUAGAGUGCGGUAGGGGCAGAGGGAAUUCCUGGUGUAGCGGUGAAAUGCGUAGAGAUCAGGAAGAACAUCGGUGGCGAAGGCGCUCUGCUGGACCAUAACUGACACUCAGGGACGAAAGCUAGGGGAGCGAAUGGGAUUAGAUACCCCAGUAGUCAAUCGUGGAUACAAU